rnacentral:rRNA from 1 species
AGAGUUUGAUCCUGGCUCAGAUUGAACGCUGGCGGCAUGCCUUACACAUGCAAGUCGAACGGUAACAGGUCUUCGGACGCUGACGAGUGGCGAACGGGUGAGUAAUACAUCGGAACGUGCCCAGUCGUGGGGGAUAACUACUCGAAAGAGUAGCUAAUACCGCAUACGAUCUGAGGAUGAAAGCGGGGGACCUUCGGGCCUCGCGCGAUUGGAGCGGCCGAUGGCAGAUUAGGUAGUUGGUGGGAUAAAAGCUUACCAAGCCGACGAUCUGUAGCUGGUCUGAGAGGACGACCAGCCACACUGGGACUGAGACACGGCCCACACUCCUACGGGAGGCAGCAGUGGGGAAUUUUGGACAAUGGGCGAAAGCCUGAUCCAGCAAUGCCGCGUGCAGGAUGAAGGCCUUCGGGUUGUAAACUGCUUUUGUACGGAACGAAAAAGCUUCUCCUAAUACGAGAGGCCCAUGACGGUACCGUAAGAAUAAGCACCGGCUAACUACGUGCCAGCAGCCGCGGUAAUACGUAGGGUGCGAGCGUUAAUCGGAAUUACUGGGCGCAAAGCGUGCGCAGGCGGUUAUGUAAGACAGAUGUGAAAUCCCCGGGCUCAACCUGGGAACUGCAUUUGUGACUGCAUGGCUAGAGUACGGUAGAGGGGGAUGGAAUUCCGCGUGCAGCAGUGACAUGCGUAGAUAUGCAGGACGAAUACCGAUGG